GAACGAGAAAGUUCCUUCGGGAGCAAUUAAAGUGGCGCACGGGUGAGUAACGCGUAGACAAUCUGUCCUUCAGUCUGGGACAACUUUUCGAAAGGAGAGCUAAUACCGGAUAACAAUGCAUGACACAAGUUGUAUAUUUGAAAGCUUUAUGUGCUGAAGGAGGGGUCUGCGUCCCAUUAGCUAGUUGGUAAGGUAAAGGCUUACCAAGGCAACGAUGGGUAGCGGGUUUGAGAGGACGAUCCGCCACACUGGAACUGAGACACGGUCCAGACUCCUACGGGAGGCAGCAGUGGGGAAUAUUGCACAAUGGAGGCAACUCUGAUGCAGCAAUGUCGCGUGAGUGAAGAAGGCCCUUGGGUCGUAAAGCUCUUUUAUGGGGGAAGAUGAUGACGGUACCCCAAGAAUAAGCACCGGCUAACUAUGUGCCAGCAGCCGCGGUAAUACAUAGGGUGCGAGCGUUGUUCGGAAUUACUGGGCGUAAAGGGCGCGCAGGCGGAAUAGUAAGUCGGAGGUGAAAGCCCGGGGCUCAACCCCGGAGGGUCUUUCGAAACUACUAAUCUAGAGAGGGUCAGGGGCCGGCAGAAUUCCUGGUGUAGAGGUGAAAUUCGUAGAUAUCAGGAGGAAUACCGGUGGCGAAGGCGGCCGGCUGGGGCCACUCUGACGCUGAGGCGCGAAAGCGUGGGGAGCAAACAGGAUUAGAUACCCUGGUAGUCCACGCCGUAAACGAUGAGCACUGGACGUCCGGAGGGUUCGACCCUUCUGGGUGUCUCAGCUAACGCAUUAAAUGCUCCGCCUGGGGAGUACGGUCGCAAGACUAAAACUCAAAGGAAUUGACGGGGGCCCGCACAAGCGGUGGAACAUGUGGUUUAAUUCGAUGCAACGCGAAGAACCUUACCUGGUCUUGACAUCCUCGGACCGCUUCAGAGAUGAGUUUCUCUUCGGAGGCGAGUGACAGGUGCUGCAUGCUGUCGUCAGCUCGUGUCGUGAGAUGUGGGUAGUCCCGCACGAGCGCACCCCUACCCUUAUGCAUCGGUAUGCGGCACUUAGGGGACUGCCGGUGACAGCGAGAGUGGAUGACGUCAAGUCCUCAUGACUUUAUGACCAGGCUUACACACGUGUUUACUAUGGGAGUUACGAAGGGAGCUUAGUCCGCGAGGCCAUUGCCAUCCUAAAAAACUUUUCUCAUUCGGAUUCGAACUUGCAAUUGACUUGUGUUGAACUGGGAAUACUCCUCGUAAUG
rnacentral:rRNA from 1 species